rnacentral:lncRNA from 1 species
AGAGAUCUUACAAGUUAAACUGAACCAAACUGAGACCAUCAUACAAAUUGAUCGGGUAAUAACAGUACCCAUACUUUUAUUUUCUUAAACAUAACAUAAGAGACUAAUACUGCAUGUUCUUAACCAGUGUGAUUAGGGUUUCUUCCAUAUUGCGGAACCACAAGAAGAUCAAUAUUUCCAUUAAUUUCAUCAUCAGCAAUAAGUGAAAAAAAUGGGUGACCUACACCCUCCGACCAAUCGGUAUAACCUGAAAAAAUCAUGUUAUAAAACUCAAUCACAAAUACACAUAUUAAAAUAAAGAAUUAUAAAUGACAUUUAUUUGAAAAUGCAUGGCCUAUGUAUAAAACCUGCGCAAGGAGUUCCCAUAAUCUUCAAAUCAGGAAGGCAAAAGAUUUCUGCUGGCUUCGAUUGAACCGUAUUCAAAACUCAAAAGGUAAGUAGUUGUGCUUGAGCGAGUUCUUAUUUCUGGUUUGAUCUGAUAUAUAUAGAUCAAGUAGCCGACACUGUGGUGCCAACGUUGCAAACUAACAAGUCGUGCAUGGUAAAGAUAAUGGAUCAACGGUCCAAGUUUAAUCGUACAAUAACUAGGUAAUUGAUUUAGGCUUAUUUUAUUUUAAUGAACUAACGAAAAAUACAGGUCUCGUUGGUUAUGCUGAUGCAGGCUAUUUAUCUGAUCCCCAUAAAGCUCGUUCACAAACAGGAUAUGUUUUUACUUUCAAUGGUACAACAAUUUUUUGGAAGUCUACAAAACAGACUCUCGUUGCAACAUCCUCCAACCAUUCUGAAAUUCUUGCACUAAAUGAAGCCAGUCGAGAAUGCAUAUGGUUGCGAUCUGUAAUCCAUCAUAUUCAAAAUACCGGUAGAAUAUCUUCAAGUUCAGAUAUCCCAACAGUGAUAUAUGAAGAUAAUGCUGCAUGUAUAGCUCAACUCAGAGGAGGAAACAUUAAAGAGGAUAGAACAAAACAUAUUUCGCCGAAAUUCUUCUACACUCAUGAGCUCCAACAGAACAAAAAGAUUGAUAUCAAACAGAUACGCUCCACAGAAAAUUUAGCUGAUAUGUUUACAAAAACUCUACCUACAUCUACAUUCGAAAAAAUCGUAUAUGGCAUUGGCAUGCGUCGUUUUAACAAACUGUUAAAUUAAGACAUGUUGUCUUUAGGAAGAGCACUCAACAAGAGGAGCGUGAUCUUACAAGAGAGGGAUUAUAGUAAUAUUGGACACAUAUGUACUGUACUUUUUUUUUCCUUUUGACCAGGUUUUCCCACUGGGUUUUUACUGGCAAAAGUUUUUAAUGAGCAGUAUCCAAUGUCAUCAGGGGGAGCACAUCUAAUAAAUAAUUGAUGAAUCCAAGGGGAAGUGUUGUAAAUCAUGGUGGAUUCCACCAAAAUAAUGCCCUCCCACCAAAAUAAUGCUCUCUCAUUAUCAUCUUAUUGCUCUUCCCAUUAUCCUUUUUUAUAAUUAAUAAUUGUGAAUAACUCCACCUUGUAAUGCCUAUAUAAACCCUUUCUUUGUUAAUGAAUGAAGACAAUUUCAAUUCCUCGCUCAAGGCACUUUACUUGUUUCUUCAAUCUUCAUUUGAGUAUUCCUUACUUACAUAUUCCCAAUUAAAUAAUUAUUUACAUACAAUCCCUUUAAAUUAUAACAUCUAUUAUCUCCAAAUUUAUAACAAAAACUUUAUUUUAAGUAGUGGAAAAGAACAGUAUAUUUAAAUUGGUCUCGGAGAAUGGUAGGUGAAUGAGGCCAAAUUAAAUUUGCGCGAAAAAUCCAAGAGCAUGUGAGACUUGCUCAAUUAUUGUAUUGUGUGUCCUGCGCUAUAAUUAAAGCAAAUGAAAUCCGCGACAAUAUAUAUAUAAUCAAGUAGCCGGUCCAAAGCGCAUCAAAAAAGAAAAAGGGUAGCUGCUCUGAGGGCAAGUUGUGAAUUAUUUCAAUAAAAAAAAGUUGGAUUGUGACAGACACUACAUAUAUUAAGAGGAUGGAUUAGGCCUUUUAACUGUUAUAAAAUUAUUUGAUUGUUAAUGACGUCUUUAUUUAAAAUUAUAAAAUUAUUUUAAUAAAUAAAUAUAUUUAAAAUAUAUUAUUAAAGGAAUGAAAUAAAUAAGAGUAUUUAAAAAAAUCUAAUUUUUUUAAAAAAAACCUCUACAACUUUAAUGGCCUAAAAACUUAAACUUUCCUUAAUAAAAGUAAAAUAAUUUAUUUAAUUUCUAAAAGCUUAGCUCAAAAUACAACCAAACAACACAAAUUUUUUUUAAAAGAGCUUUAAAAACGAAAUAAAUAUUUUUAGGCAUUAGAAAAGUUAUAUUAAACAUGCACUUAUUACAUGUAUAAAUGGAUUAUAAUUUAAUACCAACUCCCAUAAUUAUUAGAGUUAAAUCUUCUCUUAUACUAGUAACAUUACCCACCCCCGGGGGACUUGGAACUCAUAUCCUAAAUGUUGAGGGCAUGCGUUCUCACCUAUACCCUUAAGAGGGAAGUCACCAUAAAUAUCUGUUUGCGGAAGAGCAAUAUUCACCAUACAAAGCCUCUAAUUGGACAAGCCCUCUCCUUUUAAUUUUUUUUUUUUCGUUUUUUUGAAUAUAUAUAGACACACACACACACACAUAUACAUACACACAAAAGUCAGAAUUGAAGCGCCAUAAAUAUAAUAAGAAGAACUUGCAACAAGAAGCUUCUGGCAUCUCCCAAACAAGCUUGAAAAAGUAGUCAGUCAGUAAGAGUUGAAAAAUUAAAAAAGAAAAAGAAAAAAAAGCCUGGCAAAUAACAAUGUGAUGGGAUUGGGAGGUGGUGUCUUAGCAGCGAUCUUAGUUAUGAUGAUACUCUUCUUCACUGCGAAUCAAUCUUGUGCGGCAGGAAACGUGAAAGGGAGUCCUUGUCACUUUUUUUUUAAAAAAAAUUUCACGCUCAUCACAAGUUGAUUUGUUUUGUCAUUUGUGAUUGCGGGGUGUGUGUCUUCUUUUGGUUUGAUGCCUUACUGAUCUGAUCCGCAAUCUUAAACUUUAUUCAAAUUCAAAAAAAAUUAUCAAGUUAUAUGGUUUAAUUUACAAUUUUUCUCUAUUUCUCUACUUAUAAAUUUUACAUUUUUUAAUAAAAGUUAUUAAAGUCGCGGAGCUAUUAAGGGUUUUUAUGACAUUUUCCUAUUUGUAAUUAAUUUGAUCAUUAAAAGUAUAUAAGUUAUUUUCUCGAUUUAUAUUCAAACAUAUUUAAAUUUUAUAAAAAUAAAUUAAUGUCUUAGUUAACCUUUCUAAUUUUUUUUCUGCUCGACGAAUUUAUAAAGACGUCGUUUUUAAGAAGGAAAUUAUUUCUCUUUAUCUUUUUACUGCUUGAUUGGAACUCGGGCAAUUUGAAAAAAGGAAAGGAUUGAUGUUGAUGGAAAGAAUUGGGUAUGGAAAUAAAAUUGUGUGCCUUUAUAAUAAACUCAUUAAAAAUCAAAUUGAAUGAAUUUAAUUAUUAAUAAUUAGGUUACGAUAUAAAAUGAAAUCCUAAGCUUUCAAUUUUUUUUCUAGAAAUUAAUUUUAUAAUUAGAUUAUUGAAAGCUAAAGAAAAAUUAGGAGGGGGAAAACUAGUUGGGAAUCCGCAUCCUAUUCUUAUUAAUUAAUUAUAAUCUCUUUUUUUUUUUAAACAAGUCCAAAAUUUUCCUUUGUUUUUUUUUUUCUUUUUAAAUACCCAAAACUAAAAAACAGGGCAUGCACUCUGUUUAUAUUUCUAUGAAAUCGUUGUUCAUUAAGCAAAAAGAUAAAGAAUCAAAAGGACAUCUUUUAUGUGUAAAUACACAUCAAAUCUCUUUUAUUAAUCAAAUUUUGUUGGGCAUCGGACGAAUGAAAAACCAUUUGUUCUUGAACAUCUUUUCGUAGUUUCAAAUAGAAGUGAGAGAGCGUUGACGCAAAAGGACCGGCAGACUUAACAUUUUUCCAUGAGAAUUAUGUGUUAUGUGGAACUAAUUUUAAUUUACUUCCGUCAUCUUGUUACAGUGUUAACUCUUUGUUCAUGAAUCGAUUAAUAAGUGCGUUUUUUCACUCAAAAGUUUUCAUCUUAUUAGCUUGGAUCAUCUUUUUCUUUUUCCCUUUCUUUUUCUCCUCGUUGUCUUCUAUUAACUACUCUCUCUCCUCUAUGAUGAGGAAUAAUGCUAUCUGAAAAUUCAUUGAUUUGUCGGUGUUUGAUUUAUGACAAGCGGAUUUCUCAUCCUACAACUUUUUUUUGGGCCUGAUGAGUCCAUCUCAUUGGGUGGCCCAAGCUCAAGUUUCACUAAUUUGAAAAUUUAAAUAAUUAAAGAAAAUAAGUGGGGCUAAUUGAAAUUAGUCAAUAGAAAUCAUUAGAUAAAGAAGAGCAAAAGCAAGGGACUGGUAGGGAUGGUAAGUUAACGGGUACAGUUUGCAAUGGGUUUGUUAUUACCAAACUCAUAUUCACACUAAAUUUAAAUUAUUAAACCCAAUCCGUAAUUUAUUGUAGGUUCUAAUUUUUUUUUAAAAAUCCACCCACUGCGAGUUUUGACAAUUACCAAACUCGUAAUGGUAUCCAAUAGAUUUUUUUUUGCAGGUUUUCACAUUUAAAAUCACAAAUAUUUGAUAUGAAAAUUUAUAAUAAUAACGUAAAAUUCCACAUAAUAUACUCAAUUCUAAAUUUAACCAAUGUAAAUGGAAAAUUAAAAUUUCAACAUCAAUCCAACAAAAAUUCUCAAAUUAAAGUAUGAAAUACACAAAUCAAUAAAAAAAACCACAAAUUAGUAUCUAAAUAUAACAAUUAUUAUCAUUUUAUAUUAUCAUUCAACACAUGCUCCUAGAGAAGUUUUUCAUUUUAUUCACCACUAUUAGCACCCAUCGAACAUGAUUCCUACAAUAAUGAUUAAAAUUAAUAUUUUCUAAAGAAUAAUACAUCGAGCCACUUCACAAUCACUGGUUCCAACUGAACAAUUGCACUAUCACAAUCUUCAAGAACGCCACCCGUAUGGCUUCUCUUGUUCCCAUCGUUGACGGUUCCGUAAUCACCACUUUUUCGAUAGGUGCAACAACCCUGGUGAAGGAUCAGACUGUGUUUGGUUUUAGAAACUUCGUCAUUUCAAUUAAUUGUGGCUUUAUUUGAACAAUUAAUUUUGGUGUUAUAUUAAUGUAUUACUGUUAUUUUAUUUGAACAAUUAAUCUUAGUGUGUUAUAUUUUGAAACUUUGAACGUAUUAUUGUAGUUUUAUUUCAACAAUUAAUCUCAAUGUGUUAUAUUUUAAAACUAUGAAUGUAUUAUUUUAUCUUUAUUUAAACAAUUAAUUUGUUUAAAUUUUAUUCAGUUUUAAAUUUAAUCGAUAAUAAAAUUAUUUUUAUAUUAAAUUAUUAUUUUUCAUUAGUUCAUGGUAGGAAUGGUAAUUUUUUCCAAUGGGAUGGGAUCCUGCGGGACACUACGGUCAAGUAGCCGACACUACGGUGCCAACGUAUCAAGUAAACAAGUCAUGCAUGGUAAAGAUAAUGGAUCAAUGGUCCAAGUUUAAUCGUACAAUAACUAGGUAAGAUUAAGGGCUCUAUAUUGUUAAAUUAUUGCACGUGCGAAAUAUGGUCCAAAAAAUAAAUAGUUGUAAAUAAGAAAGACGAACAAAUUAAGUAAUUAGUACCACUACCGAACACAGUGCAUUGGAAGGACUGGCUUUCUUCCCUUUUAUAAGAGCAAAGAACGAAAUUUUGUAAUAGUUUUACUUAACAGCUGAAAGUUAAUUUCAUUUUUAUAUCUUUCUUUUCCUUCUUUAUUUCUUAUAUUUUUCUGUUAUUAUUAUAAUUUUUCUUUUAUGUCAGUACGAGAGGCGUGUAAUUUUUUUGGUUUACUAAACCCUUAAUAAAGCAUUGAAUCCCAGUCAAGCAUUCGGUUGCGGAAGAGGCCGAAGCAUUCGCUCUUGUCUCCCUCAUCCCAAUGCCCCCAAAAAGCCCGAUCAUUGCGCACCUGCCCCCGGCAGCACGUAUGCCCCAGCCAAACGAGAUUGCUAGCUAGUUUAUGAUACAUCUUUAAUCUUCAAUCUUCAUCUUUAUCUUCAACUAUGCCAUGAUGUGGGUUUAUUCUGCAUAUGCAUGUUGUAUUUAAUUUAUAAGUAUAGCUAUAAUUAAUUAAUAAUCUCUCUUUCCCAUCCCUUCUUAAUUCUAUCUGUCUAUAUAUUAUUAAUAAUUAAGCCUUAAGCUUGUACUGCUGCAUCCAUGCAUAAUUGCAUAUGCAUUAAUAAAUAAAUUAAUUGAAACUUGUAAUUUGUUUAGCACUAAUUAAUUCGUUGUUAAAUUAGCUAAGGUUACUCCAUCUUGAUGCUAUCGUUCGUGUUCACUCAUUUCAAUUCUACCAUACUCGUCCGGAAUUUAUUAACUUUCCAUGUGCGUGCGUGUUAACAGCCUGGAGAUGUAAUUAGUUAAUUGAUUAACCAUUGAUGGCGUUUUGCAUCGAGCUGGACCUACUCUUAAUUACCGGCCUUGAAGGGAAACCCGCUACGAUAUAAAUCAAACAACUGAACGUACAACUUCAUUACAUUUCCUGCAACAAUGCCCCUAACAUUCAAUGAUUUAUCUGCUCCCUCCCAUCAUGCCUUAAUUAAUUGUUACCACAACAUCAUCCCGAAUUUUGUAAUUACAAUUAAUUAUAUAUGUUAGCUAUUUUUCUUUUUAAAAAAUAAUUUUACAGAGACAGAUACAAUUAGUGUGGCGCAUGGGAGGAUGUUAGUUGAAACUUGGAAGCGAUAUCGAUUAAUCCAUCAUGCUUUUGUCCAACUUCUAUAUAUCUUCACGAUUAUGAAAUUUAUUGUUUCUUUUCCAUUCACUUCUUGUGAUACAUUGUCCGGCCCACGUGUUAGCCUUUAAUUAUGCCAUCUUGCAACAUAAGCCCAUUGUUUGAGAAUUGAUCUCAGUUGAAGGGGCAGCUGAGACUUGAACCAUGAACUUUGAAGGUCACGUAGGUGGUGUCGUCCAUGUGCCAAGUAUACAUCAAUCAAACUUUAAGUAAUUAUUGGUUGGGCGAAAAUGAAAGCAAAGUGCAUAUUUAUGACUAGCUGUAGAAGAGAGCGAAAGGGCAGAACGAGCGUAUAAAGGGAGCUUUCGAUGACUUGGCUCAAAUAAAGGCAGUUUUAUAUUUAUACACGGAUGGUGCAGUCAGUGACUUGACUAUAUGUGUAUUUCCUUGUUUUUUUUUUCUUUUUAAAUACGCAAAACUAAAAAACAGGGCAUGCACUCUGUUUAUAUUUCUAUGAAAUCGUUGUUCAUUAAGCAAAUUUCUUCCUCUAAGUUCAGAUAAUUUCAUGAUUUGUCACUGACUGCACCCAAUAAAAAGAUAAAGAAUCAAAAGGACAUAUUUUAUGUGUAAAUACACAUCAAAUCUCUUUUAUCAAUCAAAAUUUUAUUAUUAUUAAUAAAAUAGGCUGUAUAGCAUAUUCUAUUUUCUCCCUCAGCUAAGAUACUAAUAUAUUACCAAAUUAAUUCGUAAACGGAAAUUAAGAAAGUUAGAUCUCCAGUGAUUGUCCGUGCAAUCUCUGACUUGGCGGCACUGGAUUUUAUCAAUGCUUCGUUGUUAAAAUUUCCCGUGAAGGACGUAUAAAUUGCUGCCAUGGUGAUCUUUGCAAAGGAUGUGACCAUUGCUGCGCUGGAUAAUACUGCUGGGGAGGUGAACAUUGCUGCGCUGGGUAUAAAAUGCAAGGGAUAUGAAUGUAAUUGGAGAUCGUUUUCAUUUUUGUUUGUCGUUUUCGCUUUUUCAAGGUUGGUAAAUGGAGAGUGAAGAAACAGCAGAUCAUCGAGGAGGAUUCACUAACUUUCGUGAAUUUAGGGAGGGGUUUCCUUGAGAUUAUGUGCUUGUUUGGUACGAUUUAUUUAAUGGUCACAAGUCAAGUAUUUAUUUAAUUUUAUCAACUCUUAUUUUAAUUUUCGUUAUUGUUUAGUUGUUUAUUUAAUAGAGCUUUUGAAAUUUAAAUAAGUUAUUUUGUCUUUUCUAACAAAAUCUCAAAUUUUGUUGGGCAUAGGACGAACGAAAAACAUUUGUUCUUGAACACCUUUUCCUAGUUUCAAACAGAAGUGAGAGAGAGUUGAUGCUAAAAAGACCGCCAGACUUAUAUUUUUCCAUGAGAAUUAUGUGUUAUGUGGAACUAAUUUUAAUUUACUUUCGUGAUCUUGUUACAAUGUUAACUCUUUGUUCAUGAAUUGAUUAAUACGUGUUUCUUUUUACUCAAAAGUCUUCAUCUUAUUAACUUGCAUCAUCUUUUUCUUCUUCUUUUUCUCCGCGUGGUCUUCAAUCACCUAGUUUCUCUCCUAUAGGAUGAGCAUUAAUACCCAUCCGAAAAUGCAUUGGUUUGUCGCUGUUUGAUAAAUGACAAGCGGAUUUCUCGUCCCACAAUUUUUUUGGUCCAAAUGAGAAAUAAUAUGGUAUCAACUACUGUAUCUUGACUGGUAUUAUUUUAAGAAAUAGCAUUUGCUUACUAUUUGACUUAACAAAACAAUAUCCAGUGCGCUUGUAUUAACCCUGCUGCGUUUUUUUCACAAUAUCUAUUUCUAUUCUUUGCUGAGGACUUUUGUGAAUCUGUGAUAUAAGCUGGCGGAAUCGCUGCAUCCAAAUUUAAUAUGAGAAAACAUAUCCUCAAGCUAGCCCGCUUAACGCGUAGCGGAUAUUAGUAAUAAGAAUGACCAUAGCACAGCCACAGAAACGGCGCAGCCCCAUUCUAUCAUUUUUGUGCCCCCUCCUCAAACUUUUUUGAUAAUAAUUUUUUAUAUCACUCUUUAUUUCACCAUACUCUAUUUUGAUUAAUUCGAUUUAUUUCUCAAAUUACUCCCAUUAAAAAUAUUUUAUCUCUAAAUUUUGAUUAAUUCGAUUUAUUUCUCAAAUUACUCCCAUUAAAAAUAUUUUAAUUAUUAUUAUUGUCAUUAAUUUCAUCAUCAUCAUUAUUAUUAAAUUUUUUUAUUUAUUUUUCUUUUAGAAUAACAUGGUACACAUAAAUAGCUAGACAAAGAGAAUCUCUUGUAUAUAUCAAGAGAUCUUACAAGUUAAACUGAACCAAACUGAGACCAUCAUACAAUUGAUGGGUAAUAACUGUACCCAUACUUUUAUUUUCUUAAACAUAACAUAAGAGACUAAUACUGCAUAUUCUUAACCGGUGUGAUCAAUGUUUCUUCCAUAUUGUGGGACCACAAGAAGAUCAAUAUUUCCAUUAAUUUCAUCAUCAGCAAUAAGUGACCAACGUGGCGGUGCAAUCCCCUCCGACCAAUCGUUAUAACCUGAAAAAUUCAUGUUAUAAAAUUUAAUCACAAAUACACCUAUUAAAAUAAGAAUUAUAAAUGACAUUUAUUUGAAAAUGCAUGGCCUAUGUAUAAACCUGCGCAAGGAGUUCCCAUAAUCUUCAAAUCAGGAAGGCAAAAGAUUUCUGCUGGCUUCGACUGAACCGUAUUCAAAACUCAAUAGGUAAGUAGUUGUGCUUGAGCGAGUUCUUAUUUCUGGUUUGAUCUGAUAUAUAUAGAUCAAGUAGCCGGAACUACGGUGCCAACGUGGCAAAGUAACAAGUUGUGCAUGGUAAAGAUAAUGGAUCAAUGGUUCUAAUUUAAUCGUACAAUAAGUAGGGAAGGUCAACAGCUCUAUAUGGUUAAGUUAGUGCAUGUGCGAUACAUGGUUCAAAAAAUAAAUAAUUUUAAAUACGAAGGACGAGCAAAUUAAGUAAUAAAUGCCAUUACCAAAUAAUAGUGUGUGGUAUACUAUAGAUAAUGGAUCAACGAUUCAGAUUUCAUCAUACAAUAAGUAGGUAAGAUUAACGGUUAGUGUUAAAUCAUUGCAUGUGCGAAACAUGGUCCACAAAAUAAAUAGUAGUAAACAAGAAAGACGAAUAAAGUAAUCAAAUACCAUGUCAUCAGAUAAAAAGAAAAAAAGAAAGGUAUACAUACCAUUACCAAACAAUUGCUUGGUAAAGAUAACAGAUUUACCGCUGAAGUCUGAUAAUUGUAAGAUUAACGGCUAUAUAUGGUUCAACUGCAUGUGUAAAUAAAGUAUGAAUCAACCAAAACGGUUGUGGCUCAGUUGGCAACGCAGGCUGGGUAAGUGGGAAGAGCUCUCGGGUUCGAUCCUCACUAAACACACCAUUUGGGAGGGGUAAAGAGCCUUAACUGUGACUACACCCCGAAUCCGAAUUAGUCGGGGCUCAAUGCGGUCGCCGGAAAUCGGGUGGUUUAAAAAAAAAAAAAAGUAUGAAUCAAUGGGUCCAGGAAAUAAAUAAGAAGACCACAA